rnacentral:tRNA from 1 species
AUUUAUAUUUGGCAGAAAAUUGCAUUAGAUUUAGAUUCUAAUUAUACUAAUU